GUGGAUGUAGCUUAGUGGUAGAGCACCGGAUUGUGGCUCCGGGGGUCAUGGGUUCGAUCCCCAUCAUUCACC
rnacentral:tRNA from 1 species